UUGUAAUGCAUCCAUAGAAUAACUGUACAGAUAAAAUUUAUGAGAAGUUGCUUACUAGACAUAAUACCUCUGAGAUAACAGAAUUCACAUAAGCAUAAAGUCCAGAUGGCCAGUACAUAUAUCAACAGGCAAGAAGAAUUCUAGGCAAAAGCCAAACUUCCACAAUGGUUCAGACUCAGCCAACUUCACUGGCAUGUCCUGAAUACUAAGAUUGCCAAAGAGAAUACCUCAAACUGAAACGAGUAUCAUGGCUCCCUCAGAGUUAGACCUAGAAUAACAGAGGCACACAGGAAGCGGAGAUUAUACUUACAGCCCACAGUGGAAUUAACAUCAAAGUCUGAUCUCUGUGUGUGCCUUACUUCAGCCACUGCCUGUGUUACAUGGAACCCACUCAGAAGGGGUGAAAUGAACUUCCCAGAAGCCAUCGUCCUAAAUGAUACUGCUGUCCUGUGAGAUGAGCAAGGGCAAUAACUGCUAUAGAAAUGAAACCAAGCCAUCAACUAUGACUGAGAUCACUUAGAGGAAUCUGGGAUGGGCAAACCUCCAAGGAAUGUACAGUUUUAGAGAACAAG